rnacentral:rRNA from 1 species
AUGGUGAUCCCAGCCACGAGGCGUCAGGGGAGCUCGACCGGUCGGGUGUGGUUGGGGAUCAGAUCGAAGAAGAUACUAGAGCACUGGUGGCCCAGAUCAUGCAAACAAGCGAGGAGGUCAAUGGUGGUUGCUAUCGUAGGUGUUGGUGCGAUUGGCAAGACAACCCUCGCUCAGAAGGUCUUCAAUGACGAGGCCAUCCAAGGUGAGUUCAGUAAAAAGAUAUGGUUGAGCGUCAACCAAAACUUCAAUGAGGCUGAGCUGCUGAGAAGAGUCAUCAUCGAAGCCGGAGGAGACGCCCAGUCAGCUGGAAAUGCACAGGCAACGCUUCACAGAAGCCUCAAGGGUGCCUUGAUUGGCCACAAGACCUUGCUUGUAAUGGAUGAUGUGUGGAACCAUGGAGCAUGGGAUGGUGUGCUCAAAAUACCCUUAGUCGAUGUUGUUGCUUCAGGCAGCCGUGUCCUCAUCACCACUAGAGAUGAAGGUGUUGCCCGAAGGAUGACAGCCACAUGGCCCUACCACCACGUCGAUGCAUUAGCACCCGACGAUGCUUGGUCAUUGCUCAAGAAGCAGGUACUCUCAAGUGAGAUAGAUGAAUACCACAUCACUAUGCUAAAGGACAUCGGACUGAAAAUUAUACAAAAAUGUGGUGGUUUACCACUUGCCGUCAAAGUAAUGGGAGGACUCUUGCGUAGAAGAGGGGAGUCGCGUCGAGACUGGGAGCAGGUUUUGGAUGAUUCUAAAUGGUCAAUAACUGAAAUGCCCCAAGAGCUCAGCUAUGCAGUAUACUUGAGCUAUCAAGAUAUGCCUCCUCAUCUGAAGCAGUGCUUUCUAUAUUACUCUCUUCUUCCUCAAAAUAAAACUUAUUAUGCACAUGAAGUCGUUGCCUUGUGGAUUAGCGAAGGAUUUGUUCAUGGAAACUCAAAUGAUCUAGAAGAAUUGGGAAUAAAUUACUACAAGGAGCUGAUAUAUCGGAACCUUAUAGAGACAGAUAAAUUGUAUGUAAAUCACCUUAGUUGCAGCAUGCAUGAUGUUAUUCGCUCAUUUGCUCAGUAUAUGAUAAAAGAUGAAGCACUCAUAGUUCAUGAUGGAGACAUCGAUAAUCUAACUAAUCCUCAUUCACAAAAGUUUCUUCGGUUAUCAAUAGAAACCAACCACUUGCAGUCUGGUGAUAUUGACUGGAAAUCUUUACAGGGGCAGAAAUCAGUGAGAACAUUAAUCUCAACUAUUCAGAUCAAGAUGAAGCCCAGUGAUCUAUUGGUUACUUUUUCUGGUCUACGGAUUCUACAUAUAGAAUCUGUAGAUGUGGCUGCAUUGGUUGAAGCAUUGCACCUGAGAUAUGUGGCACUACUAAAUACUGAUAUAUCUGUACUUCCGGUGAACUUUGACAAGAUGAAAUUGUUGCAAUUCCUUAGGUUUGAUGGAUGUAUAAAUUUAGUGAAUCUUCCUGAUAGCAUUGUGAAGCUUGGCCAGCUGAGGUUACUUGAUCUUCCCAGCAGAUGUACGAUACCUAGAGGGUUCCUUGGUCUGACAAGUAUGAGGAGGCUACAUGGGUUUCGGGCCCACAUGGAUGGUGAUUGGUGCAGUUUGGACGAGUUGAGGCCUCUUUCCCAACUCAGAUUUCUUGAAUUAAUACAUUUGGAGAAUGUAUCUGCUGCUUCAUUUGCUACAAAUGCUAGGGUUGGUGAGAAAAUACAUCUUAUCGACGUAUUCUUGUACUGCACUAGCAAAGUGGGAGAUGACGGGUUGGUCAAAGAAAAAGAAGGUGUCUCUGAGGAAGAGCAACAACGAAUCGAGAAGGUGUUCGAUGAGCUCUGUCCUCCACCCAGUGUAGAAUUUAUUCACAUCGAUGGGUAUUUUGGCCAGCUACUCCCGAGUUGGAUGAUGUCCACGUCAAAGGUGUCCCUGAACAACUUAAAGUUUCUCACAUUUUCUGACCUAGCUUGUUGCAAACAACUUCCCAAUGGGUUGUGUCAGCUCCCCUACCUGCACUUCUUUCAGGUCGCCCGUGCUCCAUGCAUCAGGCGUGUUGGGACUGGAUUCUUGCAGGCUGUGGCAACUCCAUUUCCGAGUUCAAAAGAGAUGAGCUUAAGAGACAUGGUGGAAUGGGAGGAGCAAGUACAAGCCAUGCGCCGCUUUGGCUCAUUAAUUGCAAACUGA